GUAGAUAAAACCUAAGUUGCAAUUCCGGUUUUCCUCAAAAUCUAAGACAUGUCACAAAAUAAUUUACUGCCUUUGUUGAUCUCGCUCCUGUAACAAGCUUCCUGCCUCACGUAUCUCCCGCCUUAAAGAGUUUAAAAGGCAAUCACCCAAAACCAACCGUGGCUACCCAUUCAAGACUGUUUCCACACUGUGGAAGCUUUGUACUUUCACUCUGCUCAAUAAAGCCUGCAGCUUUUUCUCACUCUCAGUCCAUGUCUCUUUCACUCACUGUGGUCAGCUUCCACACCAUUUCUUUGGUGUGGCUUGGCAAGAACCUCAGGUGUUACAUCUUGGCGAGCCAGACAGGAGACUCCAGAAAAGGUAUCUAGAUCAUCAUGCAGGGUGAUUUUCCUGUACCAGUCCAAUGCCUCCAGAGGAAGAUCAUACAUUUGCCAUUUUACUGCUUAGUACGCAUGCUUGAGCCUGCUCGCCCAACUGCUGAGAUCUUAUUCAGAAACUGCUGAUCACCAACUCCAGGUGUUUUUAUUACACAAGACAAAAACGGAAAAACAGUAACAAAUGAUUGGUUAAGCCUUUCAAAACAAAGAAGUUGAAGGUCACUGGAAUAGGUUCAUUACACUCAAGCAAAGGCCUGGGGAAAUGAUAGAAUUACCUCUGUUGACCCAGAAGAGCACCAAAAGCACCAGUGUGCAGAAAUCAGAGACCUCAAGCUAAAAGUCAUAAAAGGACAAGAACCUGGAAGUCGUCGAACUGUGGAAGCAAAAGACCUGUAAUGCUCCUGCUUGCCGAGCUGUGAGCAGUGGUAGUAAAAGAGCAGUAACAUUCUCUCCUGCUUGCCAAACAGGAGAGAAGCCACUGGCACCACUCCCUCCCACUCACUGAACUAUAGAAGAGAAAAAAUUGAAACACCAAAAUUGGGGAAAUGCGACUUUUGCGAAAAUUUGAAAGUGCAUGCUUCACAGAAGGAAGGGGGAGCUGGUCUAUUAUGUCUCACUAUAACAAGACUAAAAUUUUGCAAAUAAAUUGUUCCUGCCAUAAUUUAUCCUUGGUAGAAAUGAAGAAAUUGGAGAGAGAAAAAAUUGGAUUCUAGGUCCUGACCAUUGUUUUUGAAUUUUUAUUAUUUUCCUACAAUUUAGGCUAAAUUCUGAACUAUUUGCUGGCUACAAGAGGCCUCUAAAAAAGAGCUGGGUUUUAGUUUUCUUCAUGCUCUUUAAAAACUGGCAUAUAAUGGUGUGUAUCUCUCGUUGUUUUACUUCUAAGAAACUGAAGGCAUGAUAUUCUGAAGACUAGAGGUGAUUCAAUAGCCUAUGAAUCUUCUUCAUUUGGAACCCCACUGGGCCUGAUCUGUUUCCCAUCACCAAUGCACUUCUGCUAAACCUAUAUCCUAUCAAGUACUCUCCCUAAAUGCUCAGAGACCAUAACAGAAGAUGAGGGUGUGUGAGAUUAUAAAAGCCAAAUUAGUGGAGUGGAAUCUGGAGGCUAAAGCAACUCCAUCUUGGAUGCUAAUCUGCCAUGUUGGCUUCUGAUUAACCCCAGUUCUGGAGGGCCUCUGAGGUUUCCAAUUUAUCUACUGUCCCUUGUGUAAGAACAAGUACUUAUCAUAAAUCCUGCUAUUAGGGCAAAUUUCUACCCAUUCCCUCUGAAGCAUGUGCACCUCUCCUCUACAUGUAAUCUCCCCUACAAUAGAUAAACCCCUCUGGGUCUGGGGGCUAAUAGUGUGGGAACCCAUCAUCUUGCCUCACUGCUGCACAAGCCACAGGUGUGGCUUCUGUUUCUAAGUCCCUAUUAAAUGUUUCUAGAUACCAGAUGUAUCAACCUCUUUCUUCAGCCUCUCAGCUUCCUGGGACUUUGGGGUUGGUUUGCAUAGACCUACCCACCAAAAAACUCUCACAGAGUCAGUCUUAAAUACAUACAGAGCACGGUUGGGAAAAUUCCAUGAAUAUUUAUAGGGGAAGUCAUGUGCUUGAAAAUUGGAUAAACUUGUAUGUAACAUACAUUCCAUUUUGACCUGGGGGUGAGGUUUCAGCUGGGAUUCGACUGUUUAUGUCAAAAGGUAAACUCUAGGGCAAAAAGAAUUUGGACAUAGUCUCUGCAAGCUGACUGAAACUGGCUUAAGAUCUAUGGUCACUUAUCAAUAAAGAAUGUGAUAAAAACGGUCUUUGUCCAAUCAGAGUGCUGGCAGGACCACAAGGCAAGGAAAGGGCAUUGACAGUUGGAGUCCAGUGAUUUAUUAGUAUUGGUUGGAAAAUUUUUCAAUUAUAGUUGUUUUGGCAAUGUUUUUCAGGAGCUGGUUUCUGUUUAAUUACAGAAAAGAAACCUUAUGUAAAUUAACAACAACAGGAUACAUGAACAAUCCUUCAUCCUACUAGCCAUGAAAUUCUGGAGUUUUUUGUUUGUUUGUUUGUUUUAGGGUUUUUUUUGUUGUUGUUGUUUUGCUUUGUCUCAUUGUAGCCACAGAAAGUCCAUUUGGUCUGUCUGUUGGGGUAUAUUGUGACAAUUCCAUUUGUCUUUAGCUGAAAAUGGUUUCAAGCCUGAAUUCUAAGCCACCUCAUUUUCUCCUAGUAUCUCCCAUGUGUUAGCUUAAAAGAAAAACACAACUUAUAAAUGUAGAAAACGAGAAGAGGAGACUUUGUUUCUUAUAGAGGAUUAUAGCUUGCAGGUAGCCAUUCUGAAAGACUGGGAAGCAUAGCCUCCAGCCAGAAGCCAGAAACAGAUACUUUGAGGAAGGGUCAAAGGGAACAGGGAUUUAUGCUGAGUAGGGUGGCCACAUAUACAUAUUCAAUAAGCAGUAGGAGGAGUCAUAAAUAUUUAUGAAAGGAGAAAUUGUGUGUGUGUGUGUCCACAUGUGCACACAUGUGCAAUACAGCUUCACGAGUCUCCAUGUUCAAAAACUAGCGGUGAUCUGAGGGUGGAGUUUUCAGCCCUCUGAUGUCAAAAAAUAAAGGAGAGGACACAAAAACUCUUAUUGGGCAUUCUCCAUAGACUGGCCAGAACUCCUCCAUGGUCAGUGGUCUCUUAACAGGUAAAAAAAGGAGGGGAAGCAACAGGCAGUUGGUGGAUAUUAGUGGUGGAGUCUUUUGAAAGGGCUACUUUUUGUUUAGGCCUUAGUGAAGAAAGCCUAAUUGCAAUAAGCAAGCAGUGGGGUAUAAUGAGGCAUGUCCAACCUUCCCAUCUCAUCAUGGCCUAGAACACAGUUUUCAAGUCUACUUUGAGGUUCCCUUGGCCAAGAGAUGGUCCCUUCAGUCAGCUAAGGGGCUUAGAAUUUUAUUUUUAGUUUAUACAUGCAUAUAUGAGGUAUAGAUGUAAAUAAAAUUGUGUUUUCCUCUUACUAAACUGCCUUUUGUUACAGUGUUCUCAGUUAAGAACUUAGUAGAGAGAAAAUUAUUAUUAUUAUUAUUAUUAUUAUUUGAGAUGGGGU
rnacentral:lncRNA from 10 species